GACACUUCAAGGGUGAUGAGCCGCUGCAGCAGGGAAGGUAUCUUCAGUCUAAUUAUCUUGCUGCAAUGGCUGAGUCCCAACUGCUGCAAAGCAAAAGAAUUGUCCAGAAGGCAGGCUAGCUCAUUUCCUGUAAUAUGGACAUAACACAGCGUAAUUUGAGUCAAACUUCUCAAGCCAAGUCCGACUGUUGGACAGAACACACACCUGGAAAGGAACAGACACCGAAUCGAGUUUCCACUUCCUUCAGAUAAAAGUGACCAUGGGAAGUUGUACCUUUUAUGGCCCACAGAAGGAAUAACAAUGAGUUCUUCAAUCCCAGGUGUGACGGCAAUCUGAAGCCAGCGAUCAAGAAAACAGACCCUGGUCUUGUUAUCAUAGAACUCAAUUCUGACUUCCUUCACACCAAUGCCUGGGUGUUCUAUCCAAAUUCUGUCAACUUUGUAGGUGAGAUCUCUUGCUUUACCAUCCUUUUCACACACAUCUUCAUCAAUGCCUAGUGUUUUUUUACUGAAGGUGAGGCUGGUAUGGCGUCUCCAGGAAUGCAUAAAGGUACGAGAAACGCAGGCAGCUCGAGCAGCAUCUUGCAUUGGCAUUAGUGAAUGUAUAUGCCACCAGAUGUCCUGCAUGUCAUGCACACAUGCGGAGACAGAAACAGAACAUAAGCAAAUGAUUAUUUCAAUUGGGGAAAGAAAAACAAUACGACCAUUUGAUGUACAUUGUACCCUAGUUGGUUGCACAAUGUGCAAUGCAAUACAGAGUGAAACUAUUGUCCUUUUUGUAUAAUUGACAUACAAAAAGAAAAUCAUUUAGAGACUAGUUUAAAACAAAGUACUUCAACAGUGCAGCAAAGUAUCCCACUUAUGCCUUUCGUGAAAUGGAUCGUUUUCCAACUUAUGCUAUCCUAAGAGCAACUCCAACACGCCGACCCAUUUCGUCUGCGUGCGUCCGUUUGGGUCGGCGGGGAUAGAAAAGUGGGCCCAACGCACUGACCCAAACAGACACGCGUCCGCUUUUCGUCCGCCUGCCGACCCAUUCCCGGCCCAAUUUUGAGCCUCAUUUGCGUCGGCGCGGACACGAAAUGGACGCGCGCGGCGCCCACCUACUCCUCCCUUGGCCCGCUAGUUGGUGGCAUAUUGGCCCUCCUCUCCCACCCAAUAUCGACAGCAAACCCUCGCCCUCCUCAGCCACGUCGCCGCCGCCGCCCAUUUCCGGUGCCUCUGCCAGCAACCUGUGCCGACACACCUCCCCCCAACGCCGCCACCUCCCAAGUCGCCGCCAACACCGUCUAGCCGCCGGGGCACCGAAGCUUCCCACCCCCACCUCCCGACGCCACCGCGAGCAGGAAGUCGCGUCGCCGCCCCGGCCAGCUCCUUCGUCCUGACGCCGGGACGCUCGUCGGAUGCCAGCAGGCUCAUCGGACGCCUCCAGCCAGCCACCUAGUCCAAGGGAGGCGCGCGUCUCUUCGCCGGCCAGCUCCUUCGUCAACGCCCAAAAACUGUUCGACAGUUUGCCAAGGUACAAAAUGGACUCCGCCGAUGAGUUCUUUUUCCACAAUUUCCUUUGCGACUCCGUUGAUUCCUCGUCCGACGAUGAGGAGGAGAUCUUGGCUGCCGUGUUGGUCCAUCACCACCUUAAUAGCCAACGGCCGUUGUUUCGUGGCUCGAUCCUGGGGCACCUUCCGGCGUUGAAUCGCAACCGAGAGAGCGGGCAUUUCCUUCUUUGGAACGACUACUUUGACACAACCAACCCGUUGUUCAAACAUCAGAAAUUCCAGCGGCGUUUUCGUAUGAGUAGGAAUCUUUUCAACCGUAUUAGAGAGGGGGUAGUCGGAUACGAUGACUAUUUCGAGUGCAAAGAGGAUGCCCUUGGAAAGAUUGGCUUCUCAUCUUAUUGGAAAUGCACUGGAGCCGUCCGGAUGCUUGCAUACGGAGUGCCCGGUGAUCUCAUUGAUGAGUACGUCCGUAUGAGCGAUUCUACAUGCCUACACUCCAUGUACAAGUUCUGCAAGGUUGUGAUUGUUGUGUUUGGCACUGAGUACUUGAGAGAGGCGACUACUCAAGAUAGAGCCCACUUGUUGGCGCUGAAUGCCAGCAGGGGCUUCCCAGGGAUGCUGGGCAGCAUAGACUGCAUGCACUGGGAGUGGAAGAACUACCCUUCUUCUUGGCAAGGGCAGUAUAAGGGCCAUGUCAGGGCUUGCACUGUCAUACUUGAGGCCGUGGCCUCACAAGAUCUCUGGAUUUGGCACUCUUUCUUCGGCAUGGCCGGAUCACACCAUGAUAUCAACGCGCUUCAACGCUCGCCGGUGUUUGCAAGGCUUGCCGAAGGCAACAGCCCGUUGGUGAAUGUUACCAUCAACGGCCACAACUACAACAAAGGAUACUACCUAGGUGACAGUAUCUAUCCUCAGUGGACCACUAUUGUGAAGACAAUCCCCAACCCUGUCGGAGAGAAGAGGAAAAGAUUUACCCAAGAGCAAGAGAGUGCUAGAAAGGACGUCGAGCGUGCCUUUGGUGUUUUGCAAUCUCGAUGGGGCAUCGUUUCCUGCUAGGACUUGGAGCACCAAGAAGUUGUGGGAGGUGAUGACUGCUUGUGUGAUCAUGCACAAUAUGAUCGUAGAAGAUGAGCGUCCGGAACGUAUGUACGAUCAAGGGUUUGAGUUUCAGGGUGAGAAUGUUGUGCCUGAGCAUAGAGGAGCGGCAACGUUUGAACAGUUCACCCAAUUUCAUCAUGAAAUGCAUGAUUGGAAACUCACAUGCAGCUGCAAAAUGAUUUGGUUGAGCAUAUGUGGGCUCAUGUUGGCAACCAAUAGAUGUAUCUUCUUUUCACAUGUAUUUGAGACAAUUUAAUUUUUAUUCGGCUUGUAAAACUAUGCUUGCAUCAUUUGGUUUUGAAACUAUGUUUUAUUUGGUUGUGAAACUAUGUUAUUUUUUAUAUGUUUGCUUGUGAAACAAUGAAAUAUGUGUGCAUAUUUGUUGAAAAAAGGGCGGCCAGCCGGCCACGCCGACAAAUAUGGGUUGGCGUGUUGGGCACAUUGCCGACCCAAAUCAAAAAGAGGGCGGACGCCGAGCGGACGGCCGACCCAAACGGACAAAUAGCGGACAAAAGCGUCAUCCGUUUGGGUCGGCGCGUUGGAGUUGCUCUAAACAUGCAUACUUGCCAUGGUUCUAUGUUCACUCAUAUGUGGCUAUGAUCAUGUGUUUUAGGCUUUUAGAAAAAUCCAAAGGACAGUACAGAAAUCUCAUAUGUAGCUUUUCACCUUUUUCUACAAAAGAAGAAUAUACGCAAAGAGAAGGAAUGUUCUAAUCGUGUUACUUGCCAGCAGAUUUAUGUUUCAUCACUAUAAAUUAAACGUACAAAAAAACAAAAUGUUCGACAUUGAUAAUUUACUUGCAGCACAGUUCUUCUGUCAUCAGCAUCUUAUCACAUACCUCCGGAAGACUCGGCAGAUAUUUCAUUCUUCUGCCACCUUCAGAAUUACCAUCUUGCUGGAGGGCUGGUGACUUUCUUUUAGGCACUGAAGAAAUCAAUCCACCUGCAACGCACGAUGCAUAGUCAUAGACAGCUUGCGCAUUGACAGAAGAAAUCAGCAAACUCAAAACACAUGGAAGCACAUGGCGAAAUCCACUGUGUUUCUCUCAUUCAAUUUUGGUCAACAAUAGUAAUGGUUUCAGUAAUAUCCUGGUACUCCAAUCCCUUCAAAUCCCCAUUUAUCCUCAACCCACUAGGUAGGGGUAGUGUAUUGGGUAUUGAGAAAAAUGCACUAGAGUUUGGGGAUUUGUGGGGAAAUAUGGGGAUGAAACAUGUGAAAUACACUAGAACCAAAUGGUGUUUUGGGAUAUGUGGGGAUUUAGGGGUUUGAUCGGGAUAAUCCCCACCAAUUCCCUAAAAUACACUAUUACCAAACAAGGCCUUAAUUUGUUGCUGCUGACAACCCAAAUUUUAUUUGUUCGGAAGUAAACAGGCAUACGAACUAAACGAGAGAAUAAUCUUGCUAUCACCAAAGCAAGAAUUCACGCCCAAACGCGAACGGAAUCUGGCAUUGCCAGCCGUGGAGCAAUAUUGAAUAAGACUAUCCCCUUCUCGGAAGGGGGACAGCAUACGAGGGCACGCAUGUACAGAAUAUCGGGGGAGGGGGGCGAGGAGCUGAGAGAGAGGCGGCGGAGGCGGCGGCGGCGGCGGAGGCGGCGGCGGCGGCGGAGGCGGCGGCUUACCACGGACUCGCGUUUGCCGGCGGCGCCGCUCCCGCUGCAUGGAGAUGAUCCGCUGCAGCGCCGGAAGCCCCAUGAUCGAUUCGACGCCGACGACGCCGCCCUUGGCCGGGGCACGAAAAUCGUUCCCCUCUCUCACCCACCGCCGGCGUCGAUCACGCGAUUUGUUUUUCACCGGAAAAAGAAGAGCCCGAAUCUAAACCUCGACUCUGAAUCCAGAAAGCGCGAGGUGGAUGAAAUCCCUGCCACGACCACGAGUCCAGGAAGAACGCGAGGCGUUUGGCCGCUGCACAAGUGGGUCCUCCCAAAACAUGUGAGCAGACGAUAGUUUGGCUUCUCCCUACGGGUAAAACACAUGGGCUGUCACUGAAAAUUCACAUAUGGAUUUAGUUUGAUCGCUCAAUUAUGGCUAAGCUAGGUCUUACUUUAACAAAAGGUUAAUAAUUUGUCACUAAAAAGGUACUCUCUUUGUCUCAUAAUAUAACAUGUUUUUUGACACUACACUAAGUAAAAAAACAUCUUACAUUAUGGGACGGAGGGAGUAGAAUAGAGUUGUCCGGUUAAUUAACGGAAAUCCGGGCGAAAACCGUUACAACACACCCACAAGAAAGGGUACCCGGGCGACCUGACACCAACAAGAUCACACACACCAUCAAGAAGAGGGCACCGUCGAGGUUGCAUGCAUUGUCAUCGUCAUCACCUCUCCCCGAGCAAGCGACUCCGACUUCGCCGCAGACGACCCGUCAAGACCCCUUCGAACGAACAACACACGGCGACAACUCCAAUUUUUCUGAUGCGCUUCAUUGGAGAAAGUUGCACGCCUCGCACCAACCUAGCCCGACACAACCUCCAAAGAGCACCGUCCGCUCAAACCACCCUCAUGGGGUCAUCGUUGCCGCAAGGGCCCCGCUGCACACAGCUCCAACUUCUCUGUCAUAGUGAGAAGCAAGCAUACACACACUAGUUUGCGAAUCGGGCCGCCGACAUCAGAAGGACAAGCAGCGACCCGGCUCCACACUCCAUCAUCGUCGUCGCCACACACGUCGCAACACCAACCACUCGCAUCACCGGCUGGGCACCUGCCACCCGUGAGCCGUGCAAGUUCAUCCCAAUUGAAGGGCGGGGAAGAAUCACCGGCCUUCAAAGCAACAACAAGAAUGCAGGCACGGAAGCGGGACCGCCACCCCGCCCCGACUCGUCGAGAAGGAUCUGCAAGACCGUGGCCCCGAAGCCUACCGACGACGUCGCCGCGGCUGCCACUCGUCGGAGACUCAGCCUCGUGGUCGCCACACCCCGUAGCCGUAGUGCCGCGCCACAAGGAGGCGAGCCUCCCCACCGCGAGAUCUUGCCGCUGCAGAGAGGCCCCGCCGCCGCCAUCCGUCGGCCGAGCUUAGCCCGACGGACUCCUCCGACAACGGCGAGGGAAGGUAGGGAGGCGGAGAGGGUUGGAGACGGCGCUCGAUUUGGAUCCGCUCGUGCUGUCGUGGAGGCAACGCGGGAGACGGGUGUUUUGGGACACUCGAUCUGCACAAACCGGCAUCGCCAUUCUUGCUACAAUCUGCGUCACGCCUUUGAAUGAAUUGCUACAACCGGUAACACAGCGAGGUGCAACAGGCAGCAUGGCGAGCUGAAUGAAUUGCUACAACGGGUAACAUGGCGAGCUGCAACGGGCAGCAUGGCAAGCUGCGUUGGCUCAGCAGCAAGACGUUUUUUUAUGGAACCAGUCGAUUUUGUUGUAACCGACAAGCCAAGAUGUUGCAACGGCGAGCUGCGGCUGACAGGCUGCAACCAACGAGCGUCAGCACCAGCGAAUGGCAUAACAGUUCAAAAUGGUGAACGGCAUAAAGAGAACAAAUUAAAGGAGUAAAGAGUACUCGCCGUAACCAAAAAACAAAAAUAUGCAGUUCAAAAAAAUGUGACAGGCUAUGAGAUGGGAUUCAAGGAAACCAAUCCUAAAACAAUCACAACACCACAAACCAGUUGUUCUCCCAAUACCACACUUAAGUCUCACUUCCCAUUUGAAAACACCCAGAUUUGAGAAAGGAAUCCCUGGCCCUCAUCAGGCCCUUCAUAAAAGUGAGGGUCUACAGGUUUCACCUUCACCUAAAGCCGUUGCAUCUAGCCCUCAACAUGGCACUGGCUGCAAGGCCCCACAACAGUGAACUUCACUUUAGACGGAACAAUUCCCUCGAUGUAUGUCCUGAUGGCCAAGAGCCCUUGCCGAGCUUCGACGAUGGCAUCCCUGCCCAUGGGGCAGCCAUAGCAUUUGUCUGAUCCGUUGACAGAACACCUAGAGACACUAUCUCCGUUGGUGGUGUCCAGUGUAAGAUAUUCAAGUGACUUUGUACUCUCAAGAAUGUGACAUGUUAGCUUAACCAAGCACUUUGCAGAGGAGAAACCAGUAAUAGUCACACUCUUUAGCUUGUCAUGGUGGUGCUCCGGCAUCUGCCUCCGACCUGAAGGAUCUGCAAAAAUGGAUGGAUGCCGCAUGCUGUUCCACACCGCCUAAAUAUGAGUUAACAGUUCCACCAUAGUUAAGUGAUAUAUUCGAAGGGCGAGAUCUGAAAAGGGAGAUAUCUUUACAGGGCGAAGAGACUUACAUUCAGGAUGAAUGUCUCCAAUGAAGGAGAAGCAUCAAAAAAUGAUAUGAGAGAACAAUAAUCAUAGGCUGGGGGCGCAGCAAGAACAACAGUCAAGUGCUUGAGGAAUGGAAAUUUGCUACCAAUCAUUGGUGUACUGAGCAUCUGCGUAAAGAUCUUGGAUUAAAAUUAUGCAAGUGCAUGGCUACUGUUGUAAUAUCAUGAUACACAAUUUCAGUAGUCUAUAGUCACCAGAAAAUUCGCAGUAUACCUCACUGUGUGAACAUAUAGAAAUAGUUUCAAGAUUUGGCAAGCUGGAUGGAAGAUUGGCACGAGCAUAACAGAGAGCACCACGACACUGCAUGACUAGGGUCUUCAAUUGUAAUGCUUCUCCAAACGAGAGAUGUGCUAGGUGGUCACUGAUAAACCGAAAAUUGGAGAGACAUUGAGCUUCAAUCUCUAUCGCUUGCAGCCUCUUACAGUUAGACACCUCAAGGGUGAUGAGCCACUGCAGCAGGGAAGGUAUCUUCAGUCUAAUAAUCUUACUGCAAUACAUGAGUGCCAACUGCUGCAAAGCAACAGAAUUUUCUAGAAGGCAAGCUAACUCAUUUCCUGUAAUACGGACAUCAAACAGCUCAAGUUGAGUCAAACUACUCAAACCAAGUCUGACUGUAGGACAGAACACACACUGGUAAAGAUUCAGACACCGAAUCGAGUUUCCACCUCCUUCAGAUAGAAGUGAACAUGGGAAGUUGAACUUUUUUUUUGCUCACAGAAGGAAUAACAGUGAGUUCUUCAAUCCCAGGUGUGACGGCAAUCUGAAGCCAACGAUCAAGAUAAUAG
rnacentral:lncRNA from 1 species